AAAGUCGUAACAAGGUCUCCGUUGGUGAACCAGCGGAGGGAUCAUUACCGAGUUUACAACUCCCAAACCCCUGUGAACAUACCUAUACGUUGCCUCGGCGGAUCAGCCCGCGCCCUGUAAAAAGGGACGGCCCGCCCGAGGACCCUAAACUCUGUUUUUAGUGGAACUUCUGAGUAAAACAAACAAAUAAAUCAAAACUUUCAACAACGGAUCUCUUGGUUCUGGCAUCGAUGAAGAACGCAGCAAAAUGCGAUAAGUAAUGUGAAUUGCAGAAUUCAGUGAAUCAUCGAAUCUUUGAACGCACAUUGCGCCCGCCAGUAUUCUGGCGGGCAUGCCUGUUCGAGCGUCAUUUCAACCCUCAAGCUCAGCUUGGUGUUGGGACUCGCGGUAACCCGCGUUCCCCAAAUCGAUUGGCGGUCACGUCGAGCUUCCAUAGCGUAGUAAUCAUACACCUCGUUACUGGUAAUCGUCGCGGCCACGCCGUAAAACCCCAACUUCUGAAUGUUGACCUCGGAUCAGGUAGGAAUACCCGCUGAACUUAAGCAUAUCAAUAA
rnacentral:rRNA from 1 species